rnacentral:other from 1 species
UGCUCCCUGGGAUGCAUGCCAACUGGUAAUGUCCCUGUGCCGAUAAUUUUGAUCUUAGGGUGAAUGCUUUACUGACAUUGUGCAUGCUCGGCUCGUACCGAGAAGCCUUAGGAGGUAAUCAUUUUCCCGCCUUGAACCUACGGUUCAAGGGCUACACCGGGUAGCGGCAUUCUGGGGAGCAU